UAGAACCAUUGUUCUCUUUCCCGCUCAUCCCGGGCCCUCCUGUGGGCCCGACUUGUUCCCAUUAUUGGACAUGGGUUUGAAGAGGCAGAGCCAUCAUGCUGAGUGUGCGAGGGAUGGACAGGUCUCAGCUCACAGCUCACCUCCUCGGGUCAUCCUGCCCUGCUCCUCCUGUCCCGAGGACAUCACACCUAUUGUCCUCUGAUGUCUUCACAUCACAUUGAAGAAACUGCUUGAGACACAGAGCUUACACAUUUCUUAGUGUAAUCCAUGCACGCCUUUAAAGCAAUCAUUCGCACAGAGGGGACUCCAGGGAGGCAAGUGCUGGCCCAGGACUGGACACGGGGUAGACCCUCGGCACAUCUUGUCAGCGGAAGGACAAGGGCCUGGCGCCUUGGGAGAUUAACUAUCUAGCAUCUAAGCAAGAGUUUCGAUUAGGCUAGGCAUCAUCUGAUUUGCUGCCUUCCAAGGAUGGCAGGUACAGACAGUUAGGAGUGUGGUUGACUUGUUACCAUCCUUAGUGAUGAAGGAUGAGGAUGGAACAUACGCGGGAAGUUCAUAGCUAAGCGACAGUUACUUCUUAGGGCCCUUAGCGUCAUCUCCUCCACUGACAAAUCUGUAGCCAGUCUGUUUCUCUACCGCUGCACAGCUUCAAGGGAAGUCAGACAGUCCCAGGGUAUUCUUUACCUACACACCAGGAGCCACAAGUCCAAGGAACUGCUAGAUUCUCGGUGACUUGGAUGAAGAAAGGCAAAGUAACUUUAGCUUAAUCUGACCCAGGAAGGUCUGAUACACAUUUCAUGCAAAUCAAAACCUUAAUGAGGCAUUACUUCACACACUAGAGCAUUAAGGACCAGAAGAGUCAGCUCCAUAUGUAAUCUUGGAACAGCAACGUGAUGAAAAGUAUAUGCUCGUGAUGAACGUCAAAAGAGUUCCUGGUGUCUUGGGUUUGGUACCUUGGAAGAUCAAGGUGGUAGAGGAUAGUGGGUAGGAGCAAGGCUCUGCAGACAAAUUCCAAGAUUUGGUCCUGGUGAUGCCAUUUAUUAGCUAUUUGAUCUUGAAUAAAUUAUUCUCUGGUCUUAGUUUUCUCAUCGAUAAAAUGGAGAUAAUUCUAGCACCUAUCUCCUAAGGUUGUAGUGAUGAUGAAACAAGUAAAUAUAGGCAAAAUAUACACCAAGUGCUUAACCAAUGUUACUACAACCUUAAAAGCUAAUCUAUUUUUACAAAAAUCAUUAUUUCUGCACAGUAAGCAUUAAAAGCUUCAAACUCCUCACUGCCCCUCCCCUCUACUAGCUUCCUGAGGCAGUGAAUUAAAAUAAUAGACUUAAUCUUUGUCUCUUAAAUUCAACAGAGCAGUUAUUCC